rnacentral:ncRNA from 1 species
CAAAAUUUUAUUUAUGUUUAAAAAAUUAAUGUAAUUAAUUUCUUUACAUGUAAAUUUUAGUAUUUAUUAAUAAUUUUUUUAGAUAGAAUUUAUCAGAUUUUUAAUAUUACAGUAUUUUGAAUUAAAUUAUUAAAGAAAUUUAGAUUUAGAAAUUUAGUUAAAUAUUAACUUAAUUUGUGCCAGCAGUUGCGGUUAUUCAAAUAAUAUAAUUUAUUUUUUUAUUAAUUUAUAAUUAAUAGUUUUUAGAUAAAAAAAAUUAUAGUUUAUUAGGUGAAAUUUUAAAUUAUAUAAAAUCUAUAAAUUAAAAAUAUUAUGAAGUUAUUAAAUUUUAUAUUAAACUAGGAUUAGAUACCCUAUUAUAAAAAUGUAAAAAAAAUAUUAGGAAAUUAAAUUAUUAAUAGUUAUAGUCUUUAAAAUUAAAAAAUUUGGCGGUAUUUUAAUCUAUUUAGAGGAACCUGUUUUGUAAUUGAUAUUCCACGAUUAAAUUAACUUAUAUUAAUAAUUUAUAUAUCGUUGUAGUUAAAUAUUUUUAAAAAAUAUAAAUAUUUAAAAUUUUAUUAUUAAAUAAAAAUUAAAUCAGAUCAAGAUGUAGUAUAUAUAUAAGAUUUAAUGGGUUACAAUAAAAAAAAUUAUGGAUUUAUUUUUGAAAAGAAUAAUGAAAGUGGAUUUAAAAGUAAUUAAAUUUAUAGAUUUAAUGAUUUAGUUCUAAAAUAUGUACAUAUUGCCCGUCGCUCUCAUUUAAGUUGAGAUAAGUCGUAACAAAGUAAAUGUACUGGAAAGUGUAUUUAGAUAU